CACCAUUGCUGGUGGAUGGCAUCUCUGCAGGGACACAGGGACAACUCAUACUUUGGACAGAAUGGAUAGCACAGAAGCCCUGUGCACAUGGACAUGGAGCCUGCUUGCUGUGUUCCAGCCAUACAUUGAGACCUUUGUUUAUGCUAUUUACUCCAUCUGGAAUGUUCUCCUUCUACCAAGCCCUGAAAAGCACUUUCUUCUUGAUCCUCCUCCAGUCUGUUCUCAAAGAUUCUAUUCAUCCCAGAGUUACAGAUGCAGUUACGGUGUCUUGUGUAAACGCCAUCGAUUGGGGAGCUGACAGUCUGGGGAGCUGCGAUGCGGGACAAUCAAUCGGCCUGCAGUGUCACCU